CAAACCCUACGAUGCGCGUGACCAGCCGCCUAGUAUUGAGCCAACACCAAUACCUAGGUAGUCCUGACUCUAGCUGUGGCUUGUAUGCCUCGAUAUCUGAGGAAACAUAAAGCAGUUGGGGGGACCCCCACCUGUUGAGAUCAGGUUCAAGUUACAACGGCCUCACGGCAUAGGUGGGGUAUUU
rnacentral:other from 1 species